rnacentral:pre_miRNA from 1 species
UUGACAGAAGAUAGAGAGCACAGAUGAUGAGAUACUAAUGAAAGAAUCUCACUUUCCUUUGUGCUCCCUAUGCUUCUGUCAU